UACGUAGGGGGCGAGCGUUGUCCGGAAUUAUUGGGCGUAAAGCGCGCGUAGGCGGCUUUGUAAGUUAGAGGUGAAAGCCCGAAGCUCAACUUCGGAAUUGCCUUUAAGACUGCAUCGCUAGAAUCAUGGAGAGGUUAGUGGAAUUCCGAGUGUAGAGGUGAAAUUCGUAGAUAUUCGGAAGAACACCAGUGGCGAAGGCGACUAACUGGACAUGUAUUGACGCUGAGGUGCGAAAGCGUGGGGAGCAAACAGG
rnacentral:rRNA from 1 species